rnacentral:rRNA from 1 species
UACGUAGGUGGCAAGCGUUGUCCGGAUUUACUGGGCGUAAAGGGUGCGUAGGCGGACAUUUAAGUCAGAUGUGAAAUACCCGAGCUUAACUUGGGUGCUGCAUUUGAAGCUGGGUGUCUAGAGUGCAGGAGAGGUAAGUGGAAUUCCUAGUGUAGCGGUGAAAUGCGUAGAGAUUAGGAAGAACACCAGUGGCGAAGGCGACUUACUGGACUGUAACUGACGCUGAGGCAUGAAAGCGUGGGGAGCAAACAGG